UACGUAGGUGGCGAGCGUUGUCCGGAUUUACUGGGCGUAAAGCGCGCGCAGGCGGCAGUCUAAGUCCUCUGUAAAAUCACCCGGCUCAACUGGGUGGCUGCGGAGGAGAUUGGGCAGCUUGAGGGGCCUAGAGGCCGGUGGAACUCCCGGUGUAGUGGUGAAAUGCGUAGAGAUCGGGAAGAACACCAGUGGCGAAGGCGGCCGGCUGGGGGCGCCCUGACGCUGAGGCGCGAGAGCGUGGGGAGCAAACCGG
rnacentral:rRNA from 1 species